rnacentral:lncRNA from 1 species
ACCUUUUCUUUCCUCUGUUAAGUCCAUCACUUCAAAAUGGCAGUGUAGUACUUUAUACACAGCACAGUGUUUCCUUCACUUAGCAGCAGCUAACUUUAAACUUCAGCUUUAACUUUUUUUUAAUAAAAAAAAUUGUAUUUACGCAUUCAGAAUGUCAACAAAAAGCCGCAUUUUUUUUUUUUUGCAAUUACAGAGUGGUAUUCAGUUAACAAAACAACAAUUAUCUUCAUAUAAGCUGCAUCAGAGACAUCUGAAGAUGAAAAAAAUAAAACCCAAAAAUAAAACCAAAAGGAAAAAAAAAACUACUGUCCCCAUAUAUAACUAAUUUGUGCUGUGCACCAACAAGAACCUGCUUUAAAUUUCCAUGCCAAUUUACAACCCCCAGACUGUACCAGGCAAGGUUAGUGGCUACUGAAAAUACCACCAGGACAGGGCUAUCUAAAGACACAUUCGGUAGUGUGUUGACUAUACAAAACUGUCAAGGGCUAAAGAGCAGUCAGGGAUCAAGAGAGACAGCACCUGGUCUUUGUUUCCAGCGCUGUGCCCAUGCAAAUGUACCCAAAGGCUGCCUCUACAGCUACUUCAAGACUCAGAUUGAAGGCCUUAGUUCUGGAUGUUAACCUGGAUGGUUUUCAUUUUUCUCCAAAUUUGAAAUGAAGUCCAAAGGCCUAGCUCUGAAGCGUUAGUUGCCUUGACGCACCAAAGCAGGUUUUGAAGGCUACUUAGCAGUGAUUAUUUAGAGCUUUGCAAAUUCUUAUACUUUUUUAUCUGGUAACUUCAUUUAAAAUUCUUCAUCACAACAGAAAUACACCUAAGUCUUAAAUAUGUGUUUGACAAAAGUGUUUUAGCAUUAUUAAUACAAAAUAAAUCAGAAAUGACCUAAAAAUUAAGGGAAAUGUGUCUCUCGUCAAGAUGUGUCUGAAUAGUACUUAGUGACAUGCAGAAAUGCUAAUGACAUAAAGUAGGACGGUAAAACUUUAUGUAUGCUAUGAUCCUGACUUACACUAUAUGGGCUGGGAGGCGUGGUGGCGCACGGCUUUAAUCCCAGCACUCGGGAGGCAGAGGCAGGCGGAUCCUGAGUUUGAGGCCAGCCUGAUCUACAAAAUUAGACAGCCAGGGCUACACAGGGAAAUCCUGUCUUGAAAAAAAAAAAAAACAACCAACCAACUAAACCCAACAAAUCAAAACC